UCGCGGCUUAUCACCGCCGAUCCAAUGCAUGUCAAACCCAGGUAAGGUUCUUCGCGUUGCGUCGAAUUAAACCACAUGCUCCACCGCUUGUGCGGGCCCCCGUCAAUUCGUUUGAGUUUCAGCCUUGCGACCGUACUCCCCAGGCGGGGCACUUACUGCGUUAGCGCCGGCACCGACGGGAUGUAUACCGCCGACACCUAGUGCCCAUCGUUUACGGCGUGGACUAC
rnacentral:misc_RNA from 1 species